UGUGUGUGUGUGUUUGGUGUAUGCGCUGAUCCAACAGGCCAUCGUCCUGAUAUGUCAAAUCCCUGGAUGGAGUAAAGAGAAGGAGACUGUAGAGGGGGUGUUCAUGUGUGUGUGGGUGUUGGGGUGUACUGUAUGUGUGUGCUGUAGCCAAGGCGGAUGUUUUCUGAGCUCAGCAGCCGUGUCGGAGUAAGGACACGGAGAGAGAGGGAGAGACUACCAAACAGAAAUGCUGCAACAGUGAAUGAAGAACAUCCUACGCGAAGAACAAUUACCGCCGCGACCUGUCUUGGCUUCUUUGCAGUAGAUCCUAGAGCUCCUUUGAGCUAAUUCACACGAGGGUAGCAGAGGUUCCCUGGUUGGAGAUGAACUCCACGGACAUCAAAGCCGUUUCUACAGCAGCGCCACAAGGAGAGUUUAGAGUCUGGAGUAAUUAAUGCUGGCACACAGAGACGUCUCUGUCCAAAGCUGCUAGGAGAGAACAGGGGCUUUGGUGGAAAUACAUAUCCCACCUGUGGGGUGGUGCGGUGAUUAGUGCUAUCACCUCACAGCAAGACGUUCCCCGCUUCAGACCUCAGCUUCAGGAAGCAGCUUAUGGUUACACUGGGAUGGGAUACGAGCAGCCUGAUGAGUGCUUCUGUCCAGCGUUUUAAAAAUAUGAACCGGAGAGAUGCAUUUGUGUGUUCUGCAUAUCACAGUCAGUUUAAGAUCAUGUUGCAUGCUGGGUGCAUGUAACUCCUGGAGGCUUCAGAGACGGUGAAAAAAGUAUAUAUGGCAAUAAAGCUUUGUGAUUCUGA